rnacentral:rRNA from 1 species
GACGAAGGAUGCAAGCGUUAUCCGGAUUCAUUGGGUUUAAAGGGAGCGUAGGCGGACUUAUAAGUCAGUGGUGAAAUCUCCUUGCUUAACAAGGAAACUGCCAUUGAUACUGUAGGUCUUGAGUACAGUUGCCGUUGGCGGAAUAUGACAUGUAGUGGUGAAAUACUUAGAUAUGUCAUAGAACACCGAUUGCGAAGGCAGCUAACGAAGCUGUAACUGACACUGAGGCACGAAAGCGUGGGGAUCAAACAGG